AAUGAACGCUGGCGGCAUGCCUAACACAUGCAAGUCGAACGAGACCUUCGGGUCUAGUGGCGCACGGGUGCGUAACGCGUGGGAAUCUGCCCUUUGGUUCGGAAUAACAGUUGGAAACGACUGCUAAUACCGGAUGAUGACGAAAGUCCAAAGAUUUAUCGCCAGAGGAUGAGCCCGCGUAGGAUUAGCUAGUUGGUGUGGUAAAGGCGCACCAAGGCGACGAUCCUUAGCUGGUCUGAGAGGAUGAUCAGCCACACUGGGACUGAGACACGGCCCAGACUCCUACGGGAGGCAGCAGUGGGGAAUAUUGGACAAUGGGCGAAAGCCUGAUCCAGCAAUGCCGCGUGAGUGAUGAAGGCCUUAGGGUUGUAAAGCUCUUUUACCCGGGAUGAUAAUGACAGUACCGGGAGAAUAAGCUCCGGCUAACUCCGUGCCAGCCGCCGCCGUAAUAC
rnacentral:rRNA from 1 species